rnacentral:rRNA from 1 species
AGUCAAUAGAUACCCAGGUAGUCCAUGCCGUAAACGAUGAUUGCUAGGUGUGGGGGGUCUGACCCCUUCCGUGCCGGAGUUAAACACAAUAAGCAAUCCACCUGGGGAGUACGGCCGCAAGGUUGAAACUCAAAGGAAUUGACGGGGGCCCGCACAAGCAGUGGAGUAUGUGGUUUAAAUUCGAAGCAACGCGAAGAACCUUACCAGGUCUUGACAUCCACCGAAUCCUGUAGAGAUACGGGAGUGCCCUUCGGGGAACGGUGAGACAGGUGGUGCAUGGUUGUCGUCAGCUCGUGUCGUGAGAUGUUGGGUUAAGUCCCGCAACGAGCGCAACCCUUGUGAAUAGUUGCUACGAAAGAGCACUCUAUUCAGACCGCCGUUGACAAAACGGAGGAAGGUGGGGAUGACGUCAAAUCAUCAUGCCCCUUAUGACCUGGGCUACACACGUACUACAAU